AAAAAAAAAAAAAAAAAACACUGGAAUGCAUGAGGUGUGAACUAGUCCUGAAUCAGACUCCUGAAAGAUGAAUUCUGUUAUUGCACUUUAUAAUUGAUGCAUUUUGGCGUAUUGUUUUUGUUUCCUUUUACAUUUUAUAUGGACAUAAAUAAUAUUGUCUUUGUAAAAUAAAUAAACAUGCAUUUCAGUGUUUAGAGCUCAA